ACCUCCGCUGCUAUAGUGCUCUUGGAUGCAGCCCCGUUGAGAACCUGCGUGUUGCUUAGCAACAACGUGACACGGUAGUUUACGCAACCGUUCAAGGUAGAAUAUAAUCUUAUGGUGCAUUAUUGUAUUUUAUGUAGCCGCUAGCUAGCUAGCUAGUCAGAAAAUACUUUUUUGAACAUUUCGCAGGAUAUGUUGUAGACGGUAAAAGUAGCUGUGGGUGCUACAGUAGCGCCUGAAUCAGGACGUUGACAUGUAAAAAAAAAAUUAAAACGAGGAUAUAUCCAUUCUGGGAACAAGUAAAUUCAUAGCCAACUCAACUCUCUUCAGUCCAGGCUAAAUUAACGUUUUUACCUUCCUUCAUGCCACAUGACACACACCUAGCCAGCUAAGAUUACAUUUUGCCAUUAGUUUACACAGUGGCAAGAUGUAGUAGGUACCAAAUAAUAUAUUUAAUUUCACUAACAAUGAUUUAACUAACAAUUUGUUUUUGCACAGGAUUGUGGCGAUUGCAUACUGCUACUGCCUUAAAUGGAACCACUUAAUUUCCAUCCAGGGAAGGGGGGCCGAGAUUACUAGGUUUUAAUUAUAUUUUGCACGAUAUACCCCUCCCCACGCACACAUACCUGAACACUUGAAAAGCAGUUGAAACAGAACAGAGAUAGUGGUUCGCAUUUUCCUACUAUGGUUAUACUCUGUCAUCACACGUUGACUUCCUCCCAGACAAUGAGACAGUUUGGCACAACACCACCGGUGUAAUGUACUGUAUCAAAUUACAGACCAUGACAAAAGGUGCAGGAACUCCACAAUACUUCUGAGCUAAUAUUCUGCUGUUCAUCACAACAAGUAGAUCAUUUGAUGUGUCAAUACUCAGUGCCGAUCAGGCAGAUCUUCAAGCAGUGUGCCCCAGCAGACGUCGCAGUUGUGCCCUGGUUAACACCCCCUCACUGUGUGCCAACAAAGCUGUUUGCCAUAUUCAGGAGCUGAAGAGGCAACUGGAGAACUGGUGUCAACAGUCAGGAAAUGUUCAGCAUCAGAUGUCUCAUGAAAAACAGAAAAAUAGCUAAACUUUUAGAUUUCAUUCCAGUGAAUCCAAGUCUUCAAUUAUGUCUACUGAGUUAUACAUUGAAGACAUUGGGCUAAGUGCAAGAACCGAAAGAAAAUGUGGCCUGUUGUCUCCGCUGUGUAAGGAAACUACAAAGUUGGUGUAUCUGAUUGAACAUCUUGAAGCUGAUCGCCAGGAUGCAGAGGAAGCACUACAAACAGAGAAGAAGAGGAGGUUGUAGAGUUGAAAAUAUGAAUCGAGGUAGAAGGUAGAACAUUUUCACAAUUAAAGGAAGGGAUUUCAGAGCUGUGGAAAGAAGUCCAUGCAACUAGACUUGCAGGUGAAGCGGCGGUCUCUCACACCGAGGAGGGGUUCCUUAAAAGAAACAUCAGGAUACCUUGAAUCUUCAUGAGGAAAACAAAGAUGAACAGGCAGCGAAGCAGCUUCAGAAGAACAGGAAGCACAUGCAGCAGAAGUUCAGUGUGAACGAGGACCGGAGAGCAGAGGCUAAGGAGGAGCUGUCCCAGAUGGCUACGCUGCACCCCAAUGCCAAGGUCAACUUGGAGGAGCUGGAGCAGAAGACCUUCAUGGUGGAUCAGAGGAUGCGAUAUCUCCUCAGAAAGUGACUGAGAAUCCUAAGAAAGACGAGCGAGAUGAAAGCCCUGGCCAUUCUGAAGGAUAAAAGAACAACUAUUGAAGCAGAAUUACACCAGGAGCAAACCAACACAGGAAACGCCAGAUGGGAACUUCAUAAGGAAUUUGAGAUAGGCGUUAUCAGCUACAAAACAACUGGAAAUUGAACCGGAAAAACUGAGAGAAAGUGUGAAGUUUAAGGGAGCAACUCAGUGAUUCUCCUACAGAACACAACAACACUUCAGUUUGUCUGUAAAAGGAAGGGAACCUAAAACUUGCCCAUCCAAAUACAGUCAAGGAAUUACACCAAGCUGUUACCGACGGGUUUAACCAUGCCUUGAGUAGGAUCGCAGACCUCAGUGCUAAGUCCAAAGAGUACAGAACAGGCUCUCACAUGGAGGAAACAGCAGCCGCUAUGCCAGAUGUCAUUGAAGAACUACAGUUCGUCUUUGAUGCCGUAGAGUUUCAAAACCAAACAGCUGUGUUGAUCAUGAACACCUUGGAACGUGAUAUCACCAACUGUCAACAACGGAUGGAGCCAACAGUGGAAACUCAUAUUACUCUGUUCACAACCAGACAGGAGAAAAUGGAGGAAACCAAGCUUUCUUUGUUGCAGAAGAGGAUGCACAGAGCUGUGGUGAAAUACUUCAGACAACGCAGCCUCUACAGCCUGGCUGAACUGGCCCGCUUCCAGAACCUCUCUAACGAGAACAACCAGAAAAUAAAAACCAUCCAGGAGGAGUUGUCAGAAGCAAUCCAGCGCGUCUCUGCUUUCCUUCAGUCAGUGGCAGAUGACUCAACUACAGUAACAGUGAUCAUGCUGCGACAAUAGAGACAGCAGCAGAGAACAAACAAGCGGGUCCGGAUGCCAUUGGAUUGAACAAGAAGAAGAUUCCUACAGUUCAAAUAACAGUGUAAUUGGACAUUCACCUGGUCCCAGACAACUUACUUACCCCAGCACGCUUCACUAAUUCACUAUGCUCCCUCUCUCUCUCUUACCAGCAGCAGAUCCAUAACAAUGAAACAGGUGACUUUCAUGCUGCUGUCAGGACUGAUCUAAUUUUAGCUGGGUGAAUGAUUGCAAUUGGCUUUGCCUCAUCAGAUAAUUAAUCUAUGUCACCAUUAAUUGGAAAAGAGAAUAAUUACAGGCAGUGUUGACAGAAACUCUACGCUUCUCCAGAUUUCGAGAUCUAAUUACGACUACUAAAACCCUCCGUGACCUUAACUAGCACUUAGUACAUCACCUCGACCACCCUGACCAAUGCCGAAGCAAAAAAACUUCCUCUCAGUAGACAUUAAGCCCUGUUUUUGUUGUUUCAUUUUUUUCUCCCUCUCCCCUUUUCUCUCUCACUCUGUGCUCUCCUCGAAAGCUGUCUCCCUCAAUCACUUUUCAAUGUUCAAUCUUCAUUUUGUGGAAGUUUAGCAUUUUCAAUGAGCUGGAUAUGAAUGAUUAAUGAAUAAAUUUAAAUGCUUCAUUUUGUCCAUGGAUCAUUAGUUAAGUCCUUUGUGUGAAGGACCUGAAAAAAGGAGUAAAAAUUAUUGAGACAUUAGCCUGGAGCAAUCUAGGGGUAAAUAGUGUGCACAUUAUAAAAUAAUGUUGUGUAGCGGGUGCAGUAUCCUACUGGCUUUCUAACUGAAGAACCCCCAGGUAACGCUGCUUUCAAUUUAGGCUGAAUCCCACAUAGUAUUUAUUUGUAGGAGAAAAUGUAUUAUUUCAUCAUGCAUGUUCCCAUUGCUUUAUAUGCCUACUAAUGAUGUGGCACAUUAAUAUUUAUUACGUUUAGAUUUUUCUGUUUGAUAAAAUUUG